rnacentral:tRNA from 1 species
AGUCUUAUAUUCAAAUAUGAUUUUAAAUUGCAAAUUUAAAGGUAGAAUAAAAUCUUAAGGCUU